rnacentral:rRNA from 1 species
UUAAAAAGCUCGUAGUUGAACUUUGGGCCUGGCUGAUCUGUCCUCCUAAUCGAGCGCACGGAUUCGGUCGGGCCUUUCCUCCUGGGGAACCCGAUGCCCUUCAGUGGGCGCCGUGGGGAACCAGGACUUUUACCUUGAAAAAAUUAGAGUGUUCAAAGCAGGCCUUUGCUCGAAUACAUUAGCAUGGAAUAAUAGAAUAGGACAUCGGUUCUAUUUUGUUGGUUUCUAGGACCGCUGUAAUGAUUAAUAGGGAUAGUCGGGGG